rnacentral:rRNA from 1 species
UACGUAGGGUGCAAGCGUUAAUCGGAAUUACUGGGCGUAAAGCGUGCGUAGACGGUUAUGUAAGUCGGGUGUGAAAGCCCCGGGCUCAACCUGGGAAUGCCAUUCGAGACUGCAUAGCUAGGGUGCGGAAGAGGGAAGCGGAAUUUCAGGUGUAGCGGUGAAAUGCGUAGAUAUCUGAAGGAACACCAGUGGCGAAAGCGGCUUCCUGGUCCAACACCGACGUUCAGGCACGAAAGCGUGGGGAGCAAACAGG